UACGGAGGGUGCAAGCGUUGCUCGGAUUUACUGGGCGUAAAGGGCGCGUAGGCGGCAAUUCAAGUCAGCUGUGAAAUCUCCGGGCUUAACUCGGAACGGUCAGCUGAUACUGCUUUGCUAGAGUGCGGAAGGGGCAAUCGGAAUUCUCGGUGUAGCGGUGAAAUGCGUAGAUAUCGAGAGGAACACCUGAGGUGAAGACGGGUUGCUGGGCCGACACUGACGCUGACAGCGCGAAAGCCAGGGGAGCAAACGGG
rnacentral:rRNA from 1 species